rnacentral:rRNA from 1 species
UACGUAGGGACCAAGCGUUGUUCGGAUUUACUGGGCGUAAAGGGCGCGUAGGCGGCGCGGUAAGUCACUUGUGAAAUCCCUGAGCUUAACUCAGAACGGCCAAGUGAUACUGCAGUGCUAGAGUGUGGAAGGGGCAAUCGGAAUUCUUGGUGUAGCGGUGAAAUGCGUAGAUAUCAAGAGGAACACCUGAGGUGAAGACGGGUUGCUGGGCCAACACUGACGCUGAGGCGCGAAAGCCAGGGGAGCAAACGGG